AGGACGAACGCUGGCGGCGUGCCUAAUACAUGCAAGUCGAACGGUCUUUCUAUGGAAGCUUGCUUCCACUGAGAAGAUAGUGGCGAACGGGUGAGUAACACGUGGGUAACCUGCCCAUAAGAGGGGGAUAACAUCCGGAAACGGGUGCUAAUACCGCAUAGUUUUCUUGAUCGCAUGAUUGAGAAAGGAAAGACGGCCUUUGUGCUGUCGCUUAUGGAUGGACCCGCGGCGUAUUAGUUAGUUGGUGAGGUAAUGGCUCACCAAGACGAUGAUACGUAGCCGACCUGAGAGGGUGAUCGGCCACAUUGGGACUGAGACACGGCCCAAACUCCUACGGGAGGCAGCAGUAGGGAAUCUUCCGCAAUGGACGAAAGUCUGACGGAGCAACGCCGCGUGAGUGAAAGAAGGUUUUCGGAUCGUAAAACUCUGUUGUCAGAGAAGAACAAGUUGGAGAGUAACUGCUCCAGCCUUGACGGUAUCUGACCAGAAAGCCACGGCUAACUACGUGCCAGCCGCCGC
rnacentral:rRNA from 1 species